rnacentral:rRNA from 1 species
UUAUCCGGAUUUAUUGGGUUUAAAGGGAGCGUAGAUGGAUGUUUAAGUCAGUUGUGAAAGUUUGCGGCUCAACCGUAAAAUUGCAGUUGAUACUGGAUGUCUUGAGUGCAGUUGAGGCAGGCGGAAUUCGUGGUGUAGCGGUGAAAUGCUUAGAUAUCACGAAGAACUCCGAUUGCGAAGGCAGCCUGCUAAGCUGCAACUGACAUUGAGGCUCGAAAGUGUGGGUAUCAAACAGGAUUAGAUACCCUGGUAGUCCACACGGUAAACGAUGAAUACUCGCUGUUUGCGAUAUACGGCAAGCGGCCAAGCGAAAGCGUUAAGUAUUCCACCUGGGGAGUACGCCGGCAACGGUGAAACUCAAAGGAAUUGACGGGGGCCCGCACAAGCGGAGGAACAUGUGGUUUAAUUCGAUGAUACGCCAGGAACCUUACCCGGGCUUAAAUUGCA